UGGGGAAUUUUGGACAAUGGGGGAAACCCUGAUCCAGCCAUCCCGCGUGUGCGAUGAAGGCCUUCGGGUUGUAAAGCACUUUUGGCAGGAAAGAAACGUCAUGGGUUAAUACCCCGUGAAACUGACGGUACCUGCAGAAUAAGCACCGGCUAACUACGUGCCAGCAGCCGCGGUAAUACGUAGGGUGCAAUCGUUAAUCGGAAUUACUGGGCGUAAAGCGUGCGCAGGCGGUUCGGAAAGAAAGAUGUGAAAUCCCAGAGCUCAACUUUGGAACUGCAUUUUUAACUACCGGGCUAGAGUGUGUCAGAGGGAGGUGGAAUUCCGCGUGUAGCAGUGAAAUGCGUAGAUAUGCGGAGGAACACCGAUGGCGAAGGCAGCCUCCUGGGAUAACACUGACGCUCAUGCACGAAAGCGUGGGGAGCAAACAGG
rnacentral:rRNA from 1 species